rnacentral:rRNA from 1 species
UACGUAGGCAGCAAGCGUUGUUCGGAAUUACUGGGCGUAAAGGGUGUGUAGGCGGUGCUCUAAGUCUGUUGUGAAAUCUCCCGGCUUAACUGGGAGGGUGCCGCGGAAACUGGAGUGCUCGAGGGUGGGAGAGGUAAGCGGAAUUCCUGGUGUAGCGGUGAAAUGCGUAGAUAUCAGGAGGAACACCUGUGGUGUAGACAGCUUACUGGACCACUUCUGACGCUGAGACACGAAAGCGUGGGGAGCAAACAGG